rnacentral:tRNA from 1 species
GAGGUCGGCAGUUCGAGUCUGUCCGGCCUCACCAUUAUGGGAUCUGGCAGAUGAUCGGAACGGUUGGGGCUGUAGCUCAGCUGGGAGAGCACCUGCUUUGCAAGCAGGGGGUCAGCGGUUCGAUCCCGCUCAGCUCCACCAAUUCGAUUGGUGUUGAACUGACGGAAAGAUAUCCUUGGAGAAAAUAAGUUUGCAUCGGCUUUAGGGCCUGAUGCCUGUUCUGAUUACAUUGUGAAGAGAAGAUAUGUCUGGAAGCUUCCAGGUGUUGAAGACGGCCGAAAGGUUGUUGGAGACGUCCGAGCCCAGAUCCGAUGAACCCAUGGAUGGUCUAGCCGACCGGAUGUGGUGGAGGGUCUGGAGGUAGGAAGGAAGCCUUGUCCUUGAGGCAUGAUCAUUGUUUGGGUGCUCGCAAGAGUGCCCUUCUGGUGUUCAUGCUGGAUUGGUGUUGCCUGACCGCGCAUCACCGGACAGAUCUCGAGAAGCUGGUCUUAAGAUAUGGCGCAAGUGAACCGCUCGGCGUGGUUCCAAUAAAGCGACCGUAUCGAACACGUCGAUGGCAUCUGAUUGGCUCGGUUGUAAAAGGUAACCGAGUUGCCGCUUCCCUUCGGGAAGGCGGCUAAGGAUGAGCAUUGGCAAUGAGAACGAUCAAGUGUCAAAAGGGCAUUUGGUGGAUGCCUUGGCAUGCACA